rnacentral:lncRNA from 1 species
UGUACUCGGGAAAAUACUUGUUACUCACAAAUAUCCGUCAUUAUGGUCGAAAAACGUCUUAUUUUUAAAAAAUGGAAAAAGGAUGUCGGCAACACAUCGAAUAUCGAAGGAUGUCGGGGACACACUAAUAUAUACUAUUUUUAACACAUAUGUUAUUCAACAUGUGACUAGAUCUAAUUUAAAACUAAUGGUCAUGACAAGCCGCAAAUCAAAUUUAAACUUGUGCAGGCGGAAACGAUCGCGAAUACAAUCUGAUGUUGAACAGCCGACCAGAUCGCCCACUAAAUCGCCACCCGUAAAAAAAUCAAAACCAUGCAAAUCCUCAUUUGUCAUCAAAAUAAAAACGCCUGGCAAAAAUAUUAAGUUUCCCCAAUGUCAAUUACUGAAGAAAUUUCAACAAAACCGCCAGUAGACUUGAGCAAAUGUCACGAUAGAGGACCAACAGGGCCAUGCAUACGAUUGUUUGCAGAUCAACUUCAAAACGACAUGUUACAUGAAAUGGAACAUGAAAUAAAGGAUCCCC